GACGAACGCUGGCGGCGUGCUUAACACAUGCAAGUCGAGCGGUAAGGCACUUCGGUGUACACGAGCGGCGAACGGGUGAGUAACACGUGAGUAAUCUGCCCUUCACUUUGGGAUAAGCCCCGGAAACGGGGUCUAAUACCGGAUACGACAGUCACCCGCAUGGGUUGGUUGUGGAAAGUUUUUUCGGUGGGGGAUGUGCUCGCGGCCUAUCAGCUUGUUGGUGGGGUAAUGGCCUACCAAGGCUUCGACGGGUAGCCGGCCUGAGAGGGUGACCGGCCACACUGGGACUGAGACACGGCCCAGACUCCUACGGGAGGCAGCAGUGGGGAAUAUUGGACAAUGGGCGGAAGCCUGAUCCAGCAACGCCGCGUGAGGGAUGAAGGCCUUCGGGUUGUAAACCUCUUUCAGUACCGACGAAGCGCGAGUGACGGUAGGUACAGAAGAAGCACCGGCCAACUACGUGCCAGCAGCCGCAGUAACAC
rnacentral:rRNA from 1 species